rnacentral:lncRNA from 1 species
UUCCUAAAUUUUUUCCCACCUCCCCACUAUUUCCACCAAAAUCCGGCCUUGCUGCUGACAAAUUGUUACAAGCUUUAACCACACUUAAUUGUUGCACAUUAUUUAAACACGCUGAUAUCAAGCUGCUCCAAGCAUGUUGACAAAUUGUCACAGGACUGUAAUAGACUUAAACUUUCAAAGGGUCUAUUCCAAUCUUACAACGUUAAUUCUCAUACAGCGGACUGCAGGGAUCCAGGAACACCGCCAAAUGGUUACAGACGCGGAACUUCGUUAAAGUAUAAAUCUGUGGUGCAUUACACUUGCGCUCGAGGCCAUGUUAUAAGCGGACAUUCCUCGACUCAAUGCAAAGCUGACGGGACAUGGAGCAACCCGGUACCAACAUGUGAGUAGAUUUCUUAAAGACACAGUUCAGCCUUUUGAAUGAUGGCUUUUAAGGCGCAUUGCAAC